GUCUAGCCCGAAUAGUCUGGAUGAUGAGGUUUGACCGGGCCGUGAUCAUCCUUUGAUCCAGCACAAAGUUCCAUAGAGAUCACUGGAAAGCCCUGGUCAUUUUAAAUGACUGCACUCUCCGUUGGUAUAUCGAGCCCCCUUAAGUCCUUGGUGUCAUAUGAUACCUUACCAUAUCACCCCUCCAAAAAGCUCUCUGUUUGAAGUCCGG